rnacentral:rRNA from 1 species
GACGAACGCUGGCGGCGUGCUUAAGACAUGCAAGUCGCACGGUCCCGCAAGGGACAGUGGCGGACGGGUGAGUAACACGUGGAUAACCUGCCUGACUCCCCGGGAUAACAGGCCGAAAGGCCUGCUAAUACCGGGUAAGCUCACGGAGCCGCAUGGCUUUGGGAGAAAAGGCCCUGCAAGGGGUUGGGGUCAGAGGGGUCCGCGGUCCAUUAGCUAGUUGGAGGGGUAACGGCCCACCAAGGCGACGAUGGAUAGCCGGCCUGAGAGGGCGACCGGCCACACUGGGACUGAGACACGGCCCAGACUCCUACGGGAGGCAGCAGUCGGGAAUUUUGGGCAAUGGCCGAAAGGGCUGACCCAGCAACGCCGCGUGAGUGAAGAAGGCCUUCGGGUUGUAAAGCUCUGUUGCCCGUGAAGAACGGUGCUUUCAGGAAAUGGGAAGCACUUGACGGUAGCGGGUGAGGAAGCCCCGGCUAACUACGUGCCAGCAGCCGCGGUAAUACGUAGGGGGCGAGCGUUGUCCGGAUUUAUUGGGCGUAAAGGGCGUGUAGGCGGCUUGUUAAGUCGGGGGUGAAACUCCGCAGCUCAACUGCGGACCUGCCUCCGAUACUGGCGAGCUUGAGUUCUCUAGAGGGCAGUGGAAUUCCCGGUGUAGCAGUGAAAUGCGUAGAGAUCGGGAGGAACACCAGUGGCGAAGGCGGCUGCCUGGGGAGAAACUGACGCUGAGGCGCGAAAGCUGGGGGAGCAAACGGGAUUAGAUACCCCGGUAGUCCCAGCCGUAAACGAUGAGUGCUAGGUGUAGGGGGUAUCGACCCCUCCUGUGCCGCAGUUAACGCAAUAAGCACUCCGCCUGGGGAGUACGGCCGCAAGGUUG